CUAUACUACACUAUACUAUACUAUAAUAUACUACACUGCACUAUACCAUACUUAUACUAUACUAUACCACACUACACCACACUACACUAUAAAAUAAUAUGCUAUACUAUACUAUACUUUACUACACUACAUUAUCCUAUACUAUAUAAUGCAGUACAACACAAUAAUGUACAGUGGUACAACCUGCACAGUGCAGGUACGGUUCUGUUUUUGUGUUUUCAGUCUAUGCAGGACGGUCCAGACUCCAGUCCGUGUCGACUAUUCCACUCCAGCUGCCACCUCAUCCGCUUUCUGUAUUGCUGCUCCCACUUUUCACUGAUGUCAUCAGUGGGCGACAGUACUUACCGGCGAUGGAAACCGGUGAUAUGAGAAACCUUUGGCUAAACCGGGGAAAGAAAGUGAGAAACCUGUUUCUAACAAAGCGUGGGUGGCAGAAACAAGUCACGUUUGCUUAAUUUGGAUUUCACUGCAGUUUCCACGGCUCUCUUCUGCACUCCGGAUCAACUUCUUUGUGCCUUUCAUCCAGCUGACUGCUGCCCCCUCUAAUGCUUGCUUUUAGCUUCACGGAGGACAUUUACACCUUUUAAAACCUCAAUCUCUCACCAUCUCAGCUCAGUCUGAGAUCGCGAUAGUACCACAGAUACUGCAGAUCCGCUAAGCUAUGGACAACGCAGUGAGUCACGUGGGCUAUGAGGCAGAAAAAUCAACUCUAGUGAAAUAUGGACCGGUCCUUCUCAGCUUGAUAAUGAUCCGUUAAAAUUAGCGUGCUAGAUGUUAUUUUGGAUAAAAUGGUGUUUAUUAGGCACACCCGUACAUCCAUGGAACUAUCUUCGGGGAAUUACGUGGCAGCGGACGAAUGAAUAAAAUCAUAUAGUCGUACAGAUACCAAGGCCAAGAGCUUCAAGAUUCUCUAAAGUUUAUACAGAAUUGUAUACACACCUCGUUGAUGAGAGAGGUCAGAGGACAACGACUAGACUGGUUCAAACUGACGAGAAGGCUACGGCAGCUCAAAUAACCACUCUGUACAAGACUUGGCUUUAAAGGUUCUUUAGGAUUCCCACCGCGGUAUCCAACUUCACAGGUUAGAUGGACUGCAUGCUCACCUCACCUGCCUCCCUGACUCGGUGAUAGCGUACAAGCCUUCACACCAUCAUAUCCACGCCGAGUUUAUCAUUUCCUCCCUUAAUAUUGGUCCCAGGCACACAUUUUCACUUGCGCUAUGGAGAACGUAGAAAAGCAGCCACUUUUUUAUGACUUUGAUCCUUAAAAAAAAAAAAAAUCAGAAUAAUAAAACACUAAUCAGAUUUGUGUCUGGUAACAGUAUCUUGGGGAGAUGGUUACUUAGCAACUGCUACUGGGUAUCAAGAGCAAUAUAGCUUGAUGGGUGGACAUGACAGUAGUGUAUGCACUGUGAAAAAAAAUAAAUAAAUAAAUAAAUAAUAACAGUUCUUUCCUACACAUCCAGCCGACUGGUUCAGGAGUGAUGCUUGUUUUAUUAAACAUGACAAGAACUUAAGAUGAGAAUUGAAGAGAACUGAUUUGUGUACAACAGUGAGAUUCGUUUUCAUUUUUUUUUAAAUGCUUCAAAAUUUGCCUAAACGCUCUUUUUGCAUAAUUACUAAUGAUUACAGCUUUUUACAGUAAUUGGCAAUGUGGAUUCAAUUAUUUCCCAAAUCAUUCAGAGUAUUAAACUCCCAUUGGGACUAAAUUGCAUAUUGCUACUAAUUUACUUGAAGAUUUAUUAACACAAACAAGUCCAGUGUGAAAAUACAGUGGCUUGCAAAAAGUAUUCACCCCCUUGAGCAUUUCCACUUGGUGGUGGUAGCAUUAUGUUGACGAUUAGGCGUAUCUUCUUGGUUGAUUCUCUGACUAAUCACGUUAUUACCAGGUCGCUGACGUUUGGUGGACUGCCUCCUCGAGGUAAUGUCAUAGUUGUGCCAUAUUCUUUCCAUUUUUGAAAAAUAAUGCUCCAGAGCAUAUUCAAAUUCUGGGGAAUUUUUUUUAAAUAAGCAAACCGUGAUCGAUACUUUUCCAGAACUUUGUCAGGGACUUUUUUUUUCUAAAAGCUGCUGUAUUUUUUUAUUUUUUAGGAAUGCCCUCUAACAAACUCUGGGUUCUUCCAGGAACGGGUGUACUGGUGUUGAUCACGUCAUACUAAUUGUGCAAGGAAUUAUUUCAUUUCUGGAUGCACCAGAACCGAGUUAAGGGGUAAAUACUUAUGCAAUGGCAACCUGUACUUAAAACCUGUACCUGUUUUAAAUAUUAUAUAGUUUUUUUUUCCCCCACAUGAAAUGUUACAUUUCAUUAUAACAUGUUAUUUUGUGUAGCGUCACUUCGUUUCCGUUCCACCAAGUUCAUACAAGUGCAAGGGGGGUGAAUAUUUAUGCAAAGCAGUAAAGCUUUUGGACAAAUCUCUAAAGUGAACGAAUUAAAAAUCGCAGGAUUGGGCGUAAUCGCAAACUGAGCGUAAAUAUAUAAAGUGGCACGAAUAUGGAUUAUUAAAACCGUACUUCAUGUAUCCCCAACUGAAAUGGAGGCGGAGUUAGAAGUGAGACGCAAACGUGCCGUGAUACUAAAAUUAAUCAAACAAAACCAAAAACGCAGGUGACAUCCUUUUCCACGUUCUCCUCGUUGUUUAUGUUUAAUAGAGCAAAAUAAAUGUUGGCAGAGUCAAACAGAGUAUUUCCAGCACCUGAACACCGGGGUGAUUGGGGGUGGUUUAGUACUAAUUGCGCUAUGUUGUCCAGAUGUGAUGGUGUACAACAGGUCAUUGUGGAAAUUAAGCGAUGUUCUCAAUAAUAGCUCGCUCCGUCCACAGCAGUACUGCGACGGCCACAGAUUUCCAGCACACCUGUGUAAUAGACUAAAAACGACCAACGUUCAAUGGUGUGUGCAUAACACGUUAAUCUAAAUGUUCUUGUGGCAGAUGCUAAUGAUGAUUUUU
ensembl:lncRNA